UACGUAGUUGGCAAGCGUUGUCCGGAUUUACUGGGCGUAAAGAGCGCGCAGGCGGUCGUUCAAGUCGAGUGUGAAAGCCCCCGGCUCAACUGGGGAGGGUCAUUCGAUACUGAUCGACUCGAAGGCAGGAGAGGGUAGUGGAAUUCCCGGUGUAGUGGUGAAAUGCGUAGAUAUCUGGAGGAAUACCGGUGGCGAAGGCGGCAUCCUGGACCGACAUUGACGCUGAGGAGCGAAAGCCAGGGGAGCAAACGGG
rnacentral:rRNA from 1 species